AAGAACCUUACCAGGUCUUGACAUCCCGUUGACCACUGUAGAGAUAUAGUUUCCCCUUCGGGGGCAACGGUGACAGGUGGUGCAUGGUUGUCGUCAGCUCGUGUCGUGAGAUGUUGGGUUAAGUCCCGCAACGAGCGCAACCCUUGAUCUUAGUUGCCAUCAUUUAGUUGGGCACUCUAAGGUGACUGCCGGUGACAAACCGGAGGAAGGUGGGGAUGACGUCAAAUCAUCAUGCCCCUUAUGACCUGGGCUACACACGUGCUACAAUGGACGAUACAAACGGUUGCCAACUCGCGAGAGGGAAGUUAUCCCGAUAAAGUCGUUCUCAGUUCGGAUUGUAGGCUGCAACUCGCCUACAUGAAGCCGGAAUCGCUAGUAAUCGCGGAUCAGCAUGCCGCGGUGAAUACGUUCCCGGGCCUUGUACACACCGCCCGUCACACCACGAGAGUUUGUAACACCCGAAGUCGGUGAGGUAACCUUUUGGAGCCAGCCGCCGAAGGUGGGAUAGAUGAUUG
rnacentral:rRNA from 1 species